CCCUCGUCCCUCCUGACCACGGGUGCUCCAAACUGGCACCGCUUCCCCCUGGGUGCUUGACGUGGCUUCCCCGAGGCCCAUCCCAGCGUGGCCUGGCGCCCACUGCUGUCCUGGGCUAUAAAAACCUGUAUGCUGGGGUCUCCGGUGCUGCCCGCCCCCAGCACUGCCCACCAGGCUGGCCGACCUCACUGCUCUACUGAAAUGGCACCAACCAGCCUUGCCCUGGCAGCAACCUCUGCCUCAUUCUGCUCCAGCAGGCACCAGCCAACCACUUUCCAGAGAACCUCGGACCCUCAGACGUGUGCUCCCGCCCUGGUCUUGAAUCCCCAAGGCUGUCACAAAGGGCAGACAAAUCUUCUGCUUUCCUGCAUGUUUGAACUGGUGAAGAGGCCCAACAAGAAAUGCAAAAUUUGA
rnacentral:lncRNA from 1 species